CCCCGUAAGGCUAAAUACUCCUUAGUGACCGAUAGCGCAUAGUACUGUGAAGGAACGGUGAAAAGGACCCCGGGAGGGGAGUGAAACAGAACCUGAAACCAUAUGUUUACAAGCUGUGGAACCAUGUUUUAUGUGGAACCGCGUACUUUUUGUAGAACGGUCCGGCGAGUUGCGCUGGCUGGCGAGGUUAAGCACCAAAGGUGUGGAGCCGAAGGGAAACCAAGUCUUAAUAGGGCGAAUAAGUCAGUCGGAGCAGACCCGAAACCGGGUGAUCUAUCCAUGUCCAGGUUGAAGUUGCCGUAAAAGGCAAUGGAGGACCGAACCCACAUCCGUUGAAAAGGGUGGGGAUGAGGUGUGGAUAGGGGAGAAAUUCCAAUCGAACCCGGAGAUAGCUGGUUCUCCUCGAAAUAGCUUUAGGGCUAGCCUCAUAUAAGUCUUGCGGAGGUAGAGCACUGAAUUUCCUAGGGGGCGUCAAAGCUUACCGAAGAAUAUCAAACUCCGAAUGCCGUGUAGAUGUUGUAUGGGAGUCAGACUGUACGAGAUAAGUUGGACAGUCAAAAGGGAAAGAGCCCAGACCUGCAGCUAAGGCCCCAAAAUGUGUGUUAAGUGGAAAAGGAUGUGGGAUUUCAAAGACAACUAGGAUGUUGGCUUAGAAGCAGCCAUACAUUCAAAGAGUGCGUAAUAGCUCACUAGUCGAGAGGUCCUGCGCCGAAAAUGUCCGGGGCUGAAACACACUGCCGAAGCU
rnacentral:rRNA from 1 species